rnacentral:miRNA from 1 species
CUGACAGUCGUCUAAGUCUUAG